AUACUCUGGCUUCUCUUCAUGCUGUAUAAAUAUUUCGCCUUUUGCUCAAGAUUUCCAAGAAAGGGAAUAAUUUUGAGUUUAACUUUAAUUGCUAAAGGCUUUGCUUUGACAGGGCU